rnacentral:siRNA from 1 species
UGUGGUGUUGAACAUUUUUUC